GGUUGGGGUGGGGGUCGGCUGGCAAACAGUGGUCGGGAGCACUGGGCGGGCGCGCGCACGAGGGCAAGCACGCGCGGGAGGGAGGGACGGUUCCUGGGCAACGGCCCCUCCCUGGCGCGGGAUCCGCGCAGAGUCUGCCCGGGUCGCACGCGUCUCCGCCCCUCGCGGUGCCUCCUCCUUCCUGUCACCUCGGUUCCGCCCUGGGUGGGGAGAAGCCCUGUUGCACCACUCGGGCUUCCCAGAGCGGGGCUGGCCCGCGGGGGAAACUGAGGCCCGGGACCCCGACCGGCGCCUGCACUGUGCGAGCCCGCGUAGAAAUAGGCGCCCGAGGGGCCCCCAGCGCAACGCUGGAGCUCGGCCCAGCCCCGGGGGUCCUGUGGUGAACUGGCAUCUGGGCUCUGCAGGCCUGAAGUCCGCUGAGCGCCUCGACCUGCAACUCUAGACCCCAAGUCCCCGAUCUAGGGCCUCCUUGUCGCCCUAGAAAGCGCCCUCUAAGCUUGUUUCUGUUUUUAGGCGUUGGUAGGGGUGCUGUCACCGACAUCCUAUAGCCGCCGAGGGUGUUUCUGUAGGGUAAACAUGAAGCCUCGGAGCCUCGGCUAUAUUCCAGGCAUUUUCACUUGGGUAUUGUGCAGGAAAAAAAACUACUUCUGCAACUAAGGAAUGUAAAGUCUUAACAACGGAUGAAUUUUUUUCCAAGUACAGUUGUAUUUGAUUGGAAUCAUUUGCAGAUCCAACAACAAAUCUUGAAAUAGGGGGAAAAUACAGAAGCUAUCCAAGCACCAUGCAGAUGCUCCUAGGAUUCUUAAACAAGCCAAAAAUAAUUCCAGGCAUUGUCAGAUAUAGGAUAAGUGCAUGAA